AUUUAAAAUUUAGCGCGAUAUUUUCACCUCAAAUGCUGUGAAAUUAGCUUUUGGAGUUAAACCUACUCAGUUAACCUUGGCGUUCUCAAAAAAAUUUGUGACACUUUGAUUACAAUUUCUUCAACACUUUAUUUAUUAAAUUGUUUGAUUGUAAUAAUUUUAAUUAUUUUUCCUCAUUAGUUUGUGAUCUUGUGAAUUCAGCCCUCUUCAAAUUAUGUCUGGAAUAGUGCAGAGCAUCAUUCAUCAUUGUAAAAAGACUCCAGCAGUUAUCCCAAUUGUUAUAUUCAGCGGUGGAGCUGCUCUCAUGGCCGGUUCCUAUCUUAUGAGGUUGGCUUUACAAACACCUGACGGAGUAGGUAUUAUCAAUAGACAAAGGGAACCUCACAAUCGGUAUCAGAAUAAAAACUAUAAGUUUUUCACCUAUUUUCGAUGC